rnacentral:tRNA from 1 species
UCCCUGGUAGUCCAGCGGCUAAGACACUGCACUCCCAGUGUAGGGGGCCUGGGUUCAAUUUCUGGUCAGAGAA